GAGGGUAUAGCUCAGUGGUAGAGCGCAUGCUUAGCAUGCACGAGGUCCUGGGUUCGAUCCCUGCUACCUCCU
rnacentral:tRNA from 1 species